rnacentral:rRNA from 1 species
GACAGAGGGUGCAAGCGUUGUUCGGAAUUAUUGGGCGUAAAGCGCGCGUAGGCGGUCUGCAAAGUCGGGUGUGAAAUCCCGGGGCUCAACCCCGGAAGUGCAUUCGAAACUAACAGACUUGAGUCUCGGAGAGGAUGGCGGAAUUCCUGGUGUAGAGGUGAAAUUCGUAGAUAUCAGGAGGAAUAUCCGUGGCGAAGGCGGCCAUCUGGACGAUGACUGACGCUGAGGUGCGAAAGCGUGGGGAGCAAACAGG